rnacentral:rRNA from 1 species
GACGAACGCUGGCGGCGUGCCUAAUACAUGCAAGUAGGACGCAGUUGCGAACGGGUGAGUAACGCGUAGGUAACUACCUAUUAGAGGGGGAUAACUAUUGGAAACGAUAGCUAAUACCGCAUACUAGUAGAUGGACCUGCGUUGUAUUAGCUAGUAGGUAGGGUAAUGGUCUACCUAGGCAACGAUACAUAGCCGGCCUGGGAGGGUGAUCGGCCAAACUGGGACUGGGGAACGGGCCAGGCCCCUACGGGGGGGAACAGUAGGGAAACUUCGGCAAUGGGGGGAACCCUGGACGAGCAACGGCGCGUGAGUGAAGGAGGUUUUCAGAUCGUAAAGCUCUUUUGUGAAGGAAGCGUUACUUAACCAGAAAGGGACGGCUAACUACGUGCCAGCAGCCGCGGUAAUUC